rnacentral:rRNA from 1 species
CCCUACGGGGCGCAGCAGUGAGGAAUAUUGGUCAAUGGGCUUACGCCUGAACCAGCCAAGUCGCGUGAGGGAAGACUGCCCUAUGGGUUGUAAACCUCUUUUGUCAGGGAGCAAUGGCGCUACGUGUAGCGUUAUCGAGAGUACCUGAAGAAAAAGCAUCGGCUAACUCCGUGCCAGCAGCCGCGGUAAUACGGAGGAUGCGAGCGUUAUCCGGAUUUAUUGGGUUUAAAGGGUGCGUAGGCGGAAUGCCAAGUCAGCGGUAAAAUCGCGGGGCUCAACCUCGCUCCGCCGUUGAAACUGGCGUU